AAAAUUGUACAGUUAAAACAAAACAUGGCUGAUGGCGUCAUCAUUCUGGGGUUUUAAACUUCAACACACUUGCAAGACGUGUUUGCAUUGCUCGUCAACAUCAUUGCAUUCAUCAGAAUGAAUAAACAUUGAGGAUACCCGUCGUUGAGGAUACCUGGAUACCUGACAAAGUGGAUACCCGACAGGCGGAGACUUCACACACCCGUAAAGCAAGGCUUGAGAUAAUUUCCCUCUCCACUCUGAAAUCCAAGUUCACCAGCAAAACAACCACAUCAGCGGGAGGCCAACGUGUAAGCAUGCUACUUGGAAUGAGAACAACACUCAGCACGACAGCUGCCUACGACCUUCCCCUUGGGGAACAUGAAGUACUUGAGUAUCAUCCAUGGAAACACUAUCGGAAGAUUGGAGAAGAAAAGAAAAAAGGACAAGAUCUCUAUGCUCGGACACGGUUGAUGUGAUUCCAAGAUGACAUUUAAGGAGCAUCUUUAGAAGUUGACGAGUCGAGGG